rnacentral:tRNA from 1 species
ACUUUUAUAGCUUAUUUAGAGCGUAAUAUUGAAGAUAUUAAGGAAAUUUAUUGAAUUUGAAAGUA